rnacentral:snoRNA from 9 species
AAUUCAUGAUGAAACCUAUCCCGAAGCUGAUUACCUGAAGAAAAGCAUGUGCGGAUUCGGCUUCUGAGAU